rnacentral:tRNA from 2 species
GCCGAAGUGGCGGAAUUGGCAGACGCACUUGACUCAAAAUCAAGCGUAGUAGCCCUACGUGCCGGUUCGAGUCCGGCCUUCGGCACCA